UACGUAGGGCGCAAGCGUUUGUCCGGAAUUAUUGGGCGUAAAGAGCUCGUAGGCGACUUGUCACGUCUGCUGUGAAAUCCCGGGGCUCAACCCCGGGCGUGCAGUGGAUACGGGCUGGCUAGAGGCAGGCAGGGGAGAACGGAAUUCCCGGUGUAGCGGUGAAAUGCGCAGAUAUCGGGAGGAACACCGGUGGCGAAGGCGGUUCUCUGGGCCUGUACUGACGCUGAGGAGCGAAAGCGUGGGGAGCGAACAGG
rnacentral:rRNA from 1 species